rnacentral:rRNA from 1 species
GGAGUAUGUGGUUUAAUUCGAUGCAACGCGAAGAACCUUACCUGGUCUUGACAUCCCGGAGACCCUUAGGAACUAGGGGUGCUUCCAUCUGGAAGAAUCUGGAGACAGGUGCUGCAUGGCUGUCGUCAGCUCGUGUCGUGAGAUGUUGGGUUAAGUCCCGCAACGAGCGCAACCCUUGCCUUUAGUUGCCAGCAGUUCGGCUGGGCACUCUAAAGGGACUGCCGGUGUUAAACCGGAGGAAGGUGGGGAUGACGUCAAGUCCUCAUGGCCUUUAUGACCAGGGCUACACACGUACUACAAUGGCCGAUACAAAGGGCAGCGACACUGCGAGGUGAAGCCAAUCCCGUAAAAUCGGUCUCAGUCCGGAUUGGAGUCUGCAACUCGACUCCAUGAAGUUGGAAUCGCUAGUAAUCGUGGAUCAGCAUGCCACGGUGAAUACGUUCCCGGGCCUU